rnacentral:rRNA from 1 species
AGCGAACGCUGGCGGCAGGCUUAACACAUGCAAGUCGAACGGGCGUAGCAAUACGUCAGUGGCAGACGGGUGAGUAACGCGUGGGAACGUACCUUUUGGUUCGGAACAACCCAGGGAAACUUGGGCUAAUACCGGAUAAGCCCUUACGGGGAAAGAUUUAUCGCCGAAAGAUCGGCCCGCGUCUGAUUAGCUAGUUGGUGAGGUAACGGCUCACCAAGGCGACGAUCAGUAGCUGGUCUGAGAGGAUGAUCAGCCACAUUGGGACUGAGACACGGCCCAAACUCCUACGGGAGGCAGCAGUGGGGAAUAUUGGACAAUGGGCGCGAAGCCUGAUCCAGCCAUGCCGCGUGAGUGAUGAAGGCCCUAGGGUUGUAAAGCUC